rnacentral:rRNA from 1 species
UACGGAGGGGGCUAGCGUUGUUCGGAAUUACUGGGCGUAAAGGGCGCGCAGGCGGCUGCUCAAGUCAGGCGUGAAAGGCCUGGGCUCAACCCGGGAAUUGCGCUUGAGACUGGGCUGGCUUGAGUGCGGGAGAGGAUGGUGGAAUUCCCAGUGUAGAGGUGAAAUUCGUAGAUAUUGGGAAGAACACCGGUGGCGAAGGCGGCCAUCUGGACGGAUACUGACGCUGAGACGCGAAAGCGUGGGUAGCAAACAGG